UACGUAGGGUGCGAGCGUUGUCCGGAAUUACUGGGCGUAAAGAGCUCGUAGGUGGUUUGUCGCGUUGUUCGUGAAAACUCACAGCUCAACUGUGGGCGUGCGGGCGAUACGGGGCAGACUGGAGUACUGCAGGGGAGACUGGAAUUCCUGGUGUAGCGGUGGAAUGCGCAGAUAUCAGGAGGAACACCGGUGGCGAAGGCGGGUCUCUGGGCAGUAACUGACGCUGAGGAGCGAAAGCCAGGGGAGCGAAACGGG
rnacentral:rRNA from 1 species